CCAGAGGCCAUGUUGGUAACAGCCUUAGAAGAGGAAAGAGAAGAACCUGGUUGGUGAUGAAGAUAUCAUUCUCUCCAGGAAAGUCCUCCUGGAUUCUGCAAAGGAGAAAGAAAUUGAUUUCCCCUCCAUCGAUGGGAGGAGCCAUCUGAAAGUCUUCUCCUUCAGGUCUCUUGGGAGGGUGAACAACUGUCAUUGGCCUAGAUGGCCCAAGGGCAUUGGAGCAUAUGUAAUGUGCUUCUCCAUAAAGCCACCUAUCUCCAUCCACCGGGAUAGCACUCACAGAGGAAAUGGGCAUGUCCAACCCUUCAAGGACAGAGACAGCAAGGAGAGAGAAGAAAAAAAAGUCUUGUCUUCAUAGAGCUGGGUGAGUGAUUCCUCACGUCCCCUCAUCACGUCAUCCUUCCUUGGGGUGGUGUUCU
rnacentral:lncRNA from 1 species